rnacentral:rRNA from 1 species
UACAGAGGGGGCAAGCGUUGUUCGGAAUUACUGGGCGUAAAGGGCUCGUAGGCGGCCAACUAAGUCGGAUGUGAAAUCCCCAGGCUUAACCUGGGAACUGCAUCCGAUACUGGAUGGCUUGAAUCCGGGAGAGGGAUGCGGAAUUCCAGGUGUAGCGGUGAAAUGCGUAGAUAUCAGGAGGAACACCGAUGGCGAAGGCAGGUCUCUGGGCUGACACUGACGCUGAGGCGCGAAAGCUAGGGGAGCGAACGGG